UACGGAGGGUGCUAGCGUUGUUCGGAAUUAUUGGGCGUAAAGAGCGUGUAGGCGGCCUCGUAAGUCAGAUGUGAAAUCCCUUGGCUUAACCAAGGAAGGGCAUUUGAAACUGCUUGGCUUGAGUACGGGAGGGGGAAGCGGAAUUCCCGGUGUAGAGGUGAAAUUCGUAGAUAUCGGGAGGAACACCGGUGGCGAAGGCGGCUUUCUGGACCGAUACUGACGCUGAGACGCGAAAGCGUGGGGAGCAAAC
rnacentral:rRNA from 1 species